CAGGAGACAGAGCUCCAGCCUCUGCUAACUACAGAUCUGAAGACAGGCAUGAGAGCAGAUAAGAGGCGUUGACAGAGCGCAUGGGCCUGUGGCACGCUGCCCGUCAGAAAAGGCUGUGUUGGAAUGGUGCUCCCAUCAAGUCCCAGCUUUCCUUGUUGUGCGCCUUAGCACAACGUGAAGAGCCUGCAUAUAGCAAAGGAAGCUGCAAGCUCUCUUUCCAGUUUGAGCAAGGCAACAGAGAAAGGUACUUAGCUUCUCCUGAUUUAUUGGUGAAAUACCAGCUUAUGAAGAUCCCCAGACUUGCUCUGGGAACUUCUUUGGUAACCAAAGAUAUUCAGGUGGCUUCUUUUAUAUUCCAGAACUCUCCAGGUAGGUGUGAAGUGUAAAACAGACUGAUGCUGAAGAGAGAUUCACUCCAGCUUCCCUUUCAUCUGAAGCUGGUAAGGAACUUCCUUUGAAAAGGUUUUUACUAGAAGGAAUGAGUCUCUCUCAAGGAUCAGUGCCACCAUGGGGAAAGGAAAUGGUUCACAAGUGCAGUGCCUCUCACAUCUCCUUUGCUUCAUUCCCAACUAGAAAUUCUACUGUGCUUCAGUACCUGAAGUAUUUUUUCUUAGGGAGCUUCAGGAGCUUUGAACUGAAGUAGAUAGUGGUUAGAUGGUGGAUUUCAUACCCCAAAUCCAUUGGACCUGUGUGUAAAAAAAUGCCUGUUUUGCUACCACAUCUGAGAAUGGCAGCAGAUGUAAAUUUUGGGUCAAAAGCUUUUUACAGAGAAAUUAAGUAGGAAUGCUUUCUCUCAAUUCAGCCCUCCGAGAAAGCUCUGACAUCCCAUCAAAACACACUGCGCUUUUGAAGACAAGACUUCUGAUUGUUUCAUAGGUCUGUCUUACCUGAGGUUUCUUUUGCCUUUUGUGGAAAAAUCCCUGCCCUAUCAGUAGGACUUUACUGAAUUUAAAAACAAGGGAAAUGUUUUUGUUUCUUUGAACCUUUUGGCAGAAGAUAUUUCUCACUUUCCUUCUAGCUUUGUCCAGAAUCUCAUCUGCACUUCUCAGGUGUUAUCCAUAUCUAAUCUGAACAGGCACAAAGAGAUACUUGCAGCUGUCACACCAGCAGAUGUGGAACAAACUCAGAGCAAGUCACUGGUGGGGGAAGGGAGGGUAAGACUUAAUUUUAAGCUGGCUGGGAGAGGCACUGUCAUUAUGUUCUGUGUGCAUUAAAUGCAAACAUGGAACAGGUUCAAGACUGUGGCCGAUGCUCUUAGGUGUGACAGCAGUACAAAUGAAAUAAUAAUAUCAAGUAAUCUCGGUUAGUUAUUAACCCUGCAAUAAAUGCCUGUUCUAGUUGCCA
rnacentral:lncRNA from 1 species